rnacentral:rRNA from 1 species
CCCAGUAGUGGGGACAACUCCGGAAACCGGGCUAAUACCGCAUACGGCUCUACGGGGGAAAGCGGGGGAUCUUCGGACCUCGCGCUAUUGGAUGAGCCUACGUCCGAUUAGCUUGUUGGUGGGGUAAAGGCCUACCAAGGCGACGAUCGGUAGCUGGUCUGAGAGGACGAUCAGCCACACUGGGACUGAGACACGGCCCAG